AAAAACUGAGGUGGUGUAAGAUGGACCCGCGUCUGAUUAGCUAGUUGGUGAGGUAACGGCCCACCAAGGCGACGAUCAGUAGCCGGCCUGAGAGGGUGGACGGCCACAUUGGGACUGAGACACGGCCCAAACUCCUACGGGAGGCAGCAGUGGGGGAUAUUGGACAAUGGGGGGAACCCUGAUCCAGCGACGCCGCGUGAGUGAAGAAGUAUCUCGGUAUGUAAAGCUCUAUCAGCAGGGAAGAAGAAAUGACGGUACCUGAGUAAGAAGCCCCGGCUAACUACGUGCCAGCAGCCGCGGUAAUACGUAGGGGGCAAGCGUUAUCCGGAAUUACUGGGUGUAAAGGGAGCGUAGACGGUGAUGUAAGUCUGGAGUGAAAGGCGGGGGCCCAACCCCCGGACUGCUCUGGAAACUAUGUGACUGGAGUGCAGGAGAGGUGAGCGGAAUUCCUAGUGUAGCGGUGAAAUGCGUAGAUAUUAGGAGGAACACCAGUGGCGAAGGCGGCUCACUGGACUGUAACUGACGUUGAGGCUCGAAAGCGUGGGGAGCAAACAGGAUUAGAUACCCUGGUAGUCCACGCCGUAAACGAUGAUCACUGGGUGUGGGUGGGUAUGGACCCAUCG
rnacentral:rRNA from 1 species